AGUGAACGCUGGCGGUAGGCCUAACACAUGCAAGUCGAACGGCAGCACAGGAGAGCUUGCUCUCUGGGUGGCGAGUGGCGGACGGGUGAGGAAUACAUCGGAAUCUACUCUGUCGUGGGGGAUAACGUAGGGAAACUUACGCUAAUACCGCAUACGACCUACGGGUGAAAGCAGGGGAUCUUCGGACCUUGCGCGAUUGAAUGAGCCGAUGUCGGAUUAGCUAGUUGGCGGGGUAAAGGCCCACCAAGGCGACGAUCCGUAGCUGGUCUGAGAGGAUGAUCAGCCACACUGGAACUGAGACACGGUCCAGACUCCUACGGGAGGCAGCAGUGGGGAAUGUUGGACGAUGGGCGCAAGCCUGCUCCAGCCAUACCGCGUGGGUGAAGAAGGCCUUCGGGUUGUAAAGCCCUUUUGUUGGGAAAGAAAUCCAGCUGGCUAAUACCCGGUUGGGAUGACGGUACCCAAAGAAUAAGCACCGGCUAACUUCGUGCCAGCCGCCGCCGUAA
rnacentral:rRNA from 1 species